CAUUCGCCACGGUAAUACGAAGGGGGCUAGCGUUGCUCGGAAUUACUGGGCGUAAAGGGAGCGUAGGCGGACAUUUAAGUCAGGGGUGAAAUCCCAGAGCUCAACUCUGGAACUGCCUUUGAUACUGGGUGUCUUGAGUGUGAUAGAGGUAUGUGGAACUCCGAGUGUAGAGGUGAAAUUCGUAGAUAUUCGGAAGAACACCAGUGGCGAAGGCGACAUACUGGAUCAUUACUGACGCUGAGGCUCGAAAGCGUGGGGAGCAAACAGGAUUAGAUACCCCAGUAGUCCCUGUCUCUUAUAC
rnacentral:rRNA from 1 species